rnacentral:ncRNA from 2 species
AGAAUAGGACAGGGAAGCCCGCGUGGAGGGCUGAGAGGAAGCACAGGCUUCGGCCCUUUUACCUGAUGCGGAUAAUGCCGCCGUAGGGAGUCUUAAAGAGAGGAUC